AACUUCCCUCAGCACGGGGAUAAACCCGGGAAACUGGGUAUAAUACCCGAUAGUUCUGGGAUGCUGGAAUGCUUCCAGGACGAAAGCUCCGGCGACUGAGGAUGGGUCUGCGGCCUAUCAGGUAGUAGUGGGUGUAAUGUACCUACUAGCCUACGACGGGUACGGGUCGUGAGAGCGAGAGCCCGGAGAUGGAUUCUGAGACACGAAUCCAGGCCCUACGGGGUGCAGCAGGCGCGAAAACUUUACAAUGCUGGCAACAGCGAUAAGGGGACCUCGAGUGCCAGGAUACAAUCUUGGCUGUCGUAAUGCCUAAAAAGCAUUGCAUAGCAAGGGCCGGGCAAGACCGGUGCCAGCCGCCGCGGUAACACCGGCGGCUCGAGUGGUAACCGCUAUUAUUGGGUCUAAAGGGUCUGUAGCCGGCCGGAUAAGUCUUUUGGGAAAUCCAGCUGCUCAACAGUUGGGCUUUCAGAAGAUACUGUUCGGCUCGAGGCCGGGAGAGGUGAGAGGUACUUCAGGGGUAGGGGUGAAAUCUUGUAAUCCUUGAAGGACCACCAGUGGCGAAGGCGUCUCACCAGAACGGUCCUGACGGCAAGGGACGAAAGCUAGGGGCACGAACCGGAUUAGAUACCCGGGUAGUCCUAGCCGUAAACGAUACUCGCUAGGUGUCAGCCACGGUGCGACCGUGGUUGGUGCCGUAGGGAAGCCGUGAAGCGAGCCACCUGGGAAGUACG
rnacentral:rRNA from 1 species